CCUACGGGUGGCAGCAGUGAGGAAUAUUGGUCAAUGGGCGCGAGCCUGAACCAGCCAAGUCGCGUGAGGGAAGACGGUCCUAUGGAUUGUAAACCUCUUUUGUCGGGGAGCAAAAGACGCCACGCGUGGCGUUCCGAGCGUACCCGAAGAACAAGCAUCGGCUAACUCCGUGCCAGCAGCCGCGGUAAUACGGAGGAUGCGAGCGUUAUCCGGAUUUAUUGGGUUAAAAGGGUGCGCAGGCGGAAGAUCAAGUCAGCGGUAAAAUUGAGAGGCUCAACCUCUUCGAGCCGUUGAAACUGGUUGUCUUGAGUGAGUGAGAAGUAUGCGGAAUGCGUGGGGUAGCGGUGAAAUGCAUAGAUAUCACGCAGAACUCCGAUUGCGAAGGCAGCAUACCGGCGCUCAACUGACGCUCAUGCACGAAAGUGUGGGUAUCGAACAGGAUUAGAUACCCGGGUAGUC
rnacentral:rRNA from 1 species